rnacentral:rRNA from 1 species
UACAGAGGUCUCAAGCGUUGUUCGGAUUCAUUGGGCGUAAAGGGCGCGUAGGCUGCGGGGUAAGUCGGGUGUGAAAUCUCAGAGCUCAACUCUGAAACUGCACUCGAUACUGCUUUGCUUGAGGACUGGAGAGGAGAUUGGAAUUCACGGUGUAGCGGUGGAAUGCGCAGAUAUCAGGAAGAACACCAACGGCGAAGGCAGCUCGCUGGGACGGUACUGACGCUGAGACGCGAAAGCGUGGGGAGCGAACAGG